UCCAUGCCCAUCCCUUGAGUCCUGUCCCUGAGCCCUGCCCUCCAUGCCCUCCCCUGAGACCUGUCCCUGAGCCCAACUCUCCAUGCCCAUCCCUUAGACCUGUCCCUGAGCCCUGCCCACUAUGCCCACCCCCUGAGACCUGGGCCUGCCUUCUCUCCUUCCUGCACCAGGUCCCUGGCACCUGCCGCUGAGUCCCCCAAUGCCGCCCGCUGACUGAUGUCCUGUCAGCCUACACGGGCAUCCCCUGGCUGUCUCCUGGACCCUGGCUGGCAGCAGUGGAAGCCAGCCUGCCUGCUCUUUUAUCUUCAGCUUUAGAAACUCAGCCCCAUCACUGAGUUAAGAUGCAAAGAGGCUCCCUAAGGGAGCCUGUUUUUAGCGUGCACUGAGACACUUACAUCCAUCCCCAGCUGUCCGAAUCAGCAGCUUCUUCAGGGAUCUCUAGCCCGUGAAUACUCCCAACCCUAUAACGCACUUCUUCUUUGCUCUAUCUGGCCUCUCACAUAUCAAGUUUACUUGACUAUAAAGAAAGGGAGACCUCAGCCUCCGAAGCCCAUCUCUGCGGAUGGGAAUUUCAGCGGAAGAAGCAGAGGUGCUGACGUUUCCUGUACCUCUGAAUUAACCUUACCUCUCAGCUCUGCACCUUCCUUAUUCCUGCGCAGCAAGCCCUGCCCUCACACCUGAGCCCUGAUACCCUCAGAAGCAUGCGUGUGUGUGUGUGUGUGUGUGUGUGUGAGAGAGAGAGAGAGAGAGAAAGACCUCCUGCAGAGAUUCUUGCUCACUCUCCCUGUGCUCAGGUUAAGCAGCACGACACUCAGGCAGAGGAAGGGCUGGAAAGGAGCAGGGGGCAGAGAAUAAGGACACAGGUAACGGCCCAGUAACUGCAGCCACUGAAGCAGUGUCACUUCCCCAGCACAACGUCGGGGAUUCUGUUUCAGCUCCAGCUCCAGAGAGAGGAGCACAGGGCGGGUGGGACGCCAAGGAAGUGGUCAGACGGCAGCAGGAAGUGGUCAGAGGGUGGCAGGAAGCGCUUCCUUCCGCAGAAGGCCUGGGUGCAGAAGUUAAGCUCUAGGACCUCUCUGUUCAAAGAUCCCUUCUGCCCACAGCCCCUUUCUCUAGUUAACUCACAGCACAUGUUGUGUGUACUCUCCAUUUCUUCUCACCUUCCUACACCUGUGCACUCUUUUCCCUCCCAGAGGGAGAGCCCUGUGCUCAGUCAUGAGAGUCAGAACUGGAAGGGGUCUUAGCACUCAGUCAUCUACCUGUUCAUUCGUUCAUUCAUUCAUUCAUUCCCUGUGCAUCUGCCGUGUGCCCUGUGCCAGGCGUGGGCCAUGCCCUGGGGUCUCAACACAGUGGGGCCAUCCACUAUAACUUCCUCAUCAUCCAGUUGGAAAUCUGAGACAGAAUGACCUUCCCAAAUUGUGCCGAGCACCAUAGCGGGUGGUCUGUCAUUUCCAAUAAUGAGAUGCUUCAGAGCUAACAGGAAAAUUAAAUAUUAAGUGUAUUAUACUUAGAGGUUUCCUGUAUGUAGUUGUCUCUCCUAGUUCAUGUUCUCUGAGCUUCAGACAUUCGGAGGCGUCGGAUCAUGGUUGGUGGGCAGCCUCACGUCACAAGGUCAGUAGAUACUGACAGUGGUUGACAGUAUCCCCGAAACUAAGUGUGGCCCAUGCUGGUUCUGAAGAUACCCAUGUCCUAGUGACAUCUCUUGUCCUGAAGGAAAGGUUGUCACUCAUACUCCCCUUCCUGAACCAAGCAGGAAGUUGGGAUUAAAAAAACAAUUUCUUUAGCCCUUUAUAGUACCUAAGCUUCCCCACCUGUGAACAUGGACGCAACUCAGAUUAUUAUGGAUUUGAGCAUCAGCUAAAAAUCAGGCUCUUUAGAAAGGGAGUGACUACACUAGAGAGAAAUUGUCUAGUAGAAAUUAUUUAGUAUCAGGUUUUUAGAUGCCGAUACUAAAGAAGAGAAAAUUGAGACCCAGGGCAAAAGCGAGUGUCUCAGGCUCGUGCGGCUGUGAGCGGCGGAGGCAGAGCCGAGUCCAGGCCCCCAGCCUCUGGCAUCAGUCAGGGCCGGGCACUCACCUCUGAAGCGCCGAAUACCUGCUGCCCUGGAGGCCUCACAACACGUGAAAGUUUGCUUCCGUCCAGCUAAAUCUAUGAUAUCAUGUUAUCCCCAGGUAAUUGGUUUUAGAAACUUUAUGUUUGUCCUCAGCUGAGGAGCAGAGAUUGUUCUUCCUAGCUCCCUGGGCAGGGAAACAUGAAAUGGUAUUUUCCCUCUCGAUGAUUACCUUCCACAAGAAAAUAUCUGUUUUCUUAACCUGCGUCUCUAUGGUAUGAGCAGGUGCAAGGGGAGAGGGGGGAUCAAUUUCAGAGUAUCAGCCCUUAACACUUAGGUGGAGAGAAAUUAGUGUUUCCCUGUGAACACUCUUAGGCUCUUACACGUGAGAAUCCUUAUAGAGUGCACUAGACAGCACUAGUUCACUGUCAUGUAGAUUUGCCCGGCAACCAUCACCCCACUUUUGGUAACAACAGUACAAUUUUCUUUGAGUGCGCAGCUGUCCUCCCGCCCUGUCUGUGUGGUUCAGUAGCAGCGGACCCCACCUGGACCCCAUUCUACUCCAGGCACGGGCACAGGACCCAGCUUUGUUGGUUACAUCCAUGAGUCCCAACAGCCCCAGUGAUUGGAUUGUGGAUGGUCAGGUGCCCUGAGCUGGGCCAUUACGGAGCGACUCUGAGACGUGCACUGGAAGUACUUGGAAGGAAGUGCCCUUGUUCUGCAGGGCUUGUUAGUAACAGAGGGGAAGCCUGGAACUGCUUGUCUAGUCACGUACGUGGGGGUGUCUGAGAGAUGGAUGAAGACAGACUCUCGUGGAUAUCAUCUGAGUGUCUGAUUCCACCUGGUCCUUAAUCUGAGAAAUUUAUCCCUAACUGUUACAAAUUGGGGUAGUCAAAAUUUUCUUUUAUUUUUCAGUGUAAGUCUGUUUGAGUCAGGUUUCUGUUAUUUGCAACCUGAAGAAACCUAAUACACCCACAACAAGGACACCAAGUAGGUGCUUAGAGGGAAUUAGAGUGAAAGGGCAAUGACAAUAUUUUAGGCAACUGGCCUGAUGGCUGCUGGGUCCUGAGAAGAGGAAAGGUCAACCCCACACAGAUGGGGGUCUUGGCCCUAAGCAGGGUGCUCUAGUGGCAGAGCAGAGCUUACCAGGAGAGGAGAGCCCAUCCCAGGUGACGUCUGGUCUCCACCCACCUAACAUUCCACCGAGUUUCAGUGUGAGAAUCUGAAACUGCUUUUGUUGAGGUUUCGCCACCUUUGACUCCCACAAUGCUUUCCAGGUCCCCAGAAUACAAUGUUUCAUUUAGGGGCUCCCCCAAAUGCCUGAGAUUGGAGUUCAUCACCAGCUACAUUUUCUCUGCUGCCAAAAUCUGAAUUUCCUCCAUUUCUCUUCCUCUUCGCCUGUCAUCCCUCCCUGCGCUCACCCAGCACAAGCAGGGCAGACUUCAGUCCUUGCAAAGGCACAGCAUUGGACCUUCAUGACUUGCUGCAAAUCCUACUUUUUGAGUAGAAGUCUUAAUUUCUUCUUGCCUUUCCUAGGCGAUUUCCUGCUAACCAUCAGUCCCUUUUCCCCAUCUGGAAUGGUGUGGGGGGGGGGUGCCGUGCAAAUUAUAGACUGAUGAGCCCCACAAAGCAGGCAGCCUAAUCAGUCAUUCCACCAAGCCUACCUAAGCACCAGGCACCAGGUACCAUUGUGGGGAUAUAAUGGAAUGAGAAAUGUUCCCUGUCCUCAAGGAAUUUACACAGCUACUAUAAGUGGGAAACUUGUUUGUAGCUCUCAGCCUGUAAAAUACCUAUAGGGAUUGUGGACAUUCAAGACAUAACACAUUUCUGAAGCUUAUGCCACACCAUGUGUCCUACCAACCUGACCCGAUCUGUUUGGAACAUUUAGAAGAUUGUGCCUGGCAGUCCCCUUCCCAGCAUGGGACCCGCACGGGCCACCAGGUCACGGGGAGGCAGGGGAAUGGCGCGAGGCUAAGAGUCCUUUGGUUCUCCACUGAUAACCGAGUCCCUGUGAGACGCGCUCUACACUCCCACACGACACUCUCCUCCCGGGAGGCGGACAGGAGCGGCCGGUCCCCCAGUCCUGGCUGUCCAUAGGCAGAAAAACAGCACUGAAGCCCACACGUCCUCCUGUGACAGGGACGACAUUACAAGGCCAAGGAUGAGAAGCACUUUAAGAAGCCUCCAGAUGAGUAUUGGGUUAAAAGGGGGGAAACGUAUUUGGACUGAAGGUGGAGGCAUGGACGGGGUCGGGAGCUGAGGAAAUAUUUCAUGGAGAAGGUUGGAUUUGAGGUGGGGAUUACAGAACUAUUAUCUUCAUUUAUUUUAACUUUAUUUCUAGACAGACAAACAAACUCUGGGCCCAUUCCAUUGGAAAGAUCACAUGAAACAACCAUUUCAAGAGAAACUGUAAAUCUGGUGUUGAGAGAACCAUCACAUCUUUGGACAGGAAGCUUCAAAUUCUACACCACACUCCUCUACCGCUGGCACCAUCAUCUGAGAAACCUUUUGAAUAAUGAGAAAUGGAUUCCACAUGUGUCCUCGCUCUCACAUUACUCAAGAAAAAGCAUUUCCCAGUUUACUCUCUCUUUAAAUUGGGACAAUAAUAGCACUUACAUAGUUUGUUAAAGAAGAGAAUACCCGUGCAGUCCUUGUCACAUAGCAAGUGAUACUUCUGUCCGAUGGGAUGCUUUCAGCUAUAAGGAAUACAAAAAUCAACACAGAUGGCUUAAACAUAAGGAUUUAUUGUUUCAUUUGGCAAGGAGUCUCAAGGUGGGGCAGCUCCAGGACUGCUUGAUUCGGUGACUCAGUAAUGUCUCAGGAACUUCUUUGUCCACUCAGGACAGCUUUUCCUCAGCCAGGCUCCCAUCACUGAGAGAUUUACAUGUAUCAUCCAGACAAGAAAUUGUCCAGAGUGGGGAGAAAGUUCACCUUUUAUUGCAACUCGAUUUUUAAGAAUGAAGCAGCUUUUCUCAAAAGCCCCUCCCUCUCUCAGCAGAAUUCUCUACUUGCCAUCAGACUGAAUCACACAUCCCUGCCUAAACCAGUCAUGGGAGAGGAGAAUGAACAGACCAUGAUUGACUUAAAUUAACCAAAACUUACCCCUGAUCUAGGAAUAAAAUUACUUCCCCCAGGAAUACGUGCCCCCUGAAGUUGGGGAAAAAAGGAACACAGUAGACUGGUAUCUGAAUCCCACGGAUAAAAUUUAAAAGUUGAAAGAGAAGUUUGCGAAUUAUUCUGAUGGUGUGAACAAAGAGUUUGCUACUGUGUCAGGACUGGGCAGCAUUUCCAGAGUUUGUGAGCCAAGGAUGCAUGUUUUCUGGAGACCAAAUAUUGACCACACCGGACAGCCACCUGGCGGGGGUUGGCCUGGGCGCUGUGCGCUAGGACUGCCUACAGGGGCAAUCAGGACUCAGCAGAAAGAAGCUAGAGGUCUUGCUGGAUCACAGGAGCUGGGAAAGGAGUAACUGAAGCCAGUGACUAGAGUAUCAUCCAUGUCAAGGGAACAUAGAUGAGAAAAUCCCAGCAAGAGAUUCCUCCAAAAACCCCUCAAAAGAGUGUCCGUGAGGGAAAAAGCCAUCUUUAAAUGUCUUUCAGACCCAGCAAGCCUGAAGCCAUCUAAUGACAACACAAAUCAAAUAAUUCUUUUGUUCACUUUACCUCUGUUUUCCCUGACUCCAACCUUGGAGUUGUCUGAAACUUCAGUCAGCAAGUUGAAGGGAGAAAAGUGGACAAAGAAGCGAGAAGAUGCCAUACUCUCUUUGACCCUGGUCUAACUUGGGAACAGGAGAGUAGCUCUAAAUCAGAAUGAAAUGGGAAGUUUUGCCUGUCAUCUGGGACUAGGUUAUCUAAAUGGUAAUUUGAAACUGUUUUGUAAUCUACAGUGCCCAGAGCAAUGAGGUUUGCCUAAUUUUUUAUCUAUUAAUAGAAGCAAGGGCAGAACUAAUCCCACUGAGGUAAACAAAACAAAGCUGCUUGUAUGAUUGUAUUUUUAGUCCUGCUUGUUAAAUAUACUACUUAAACUUAUAAUAAUCCACAAUUUUCAUAAGAAAUGGCUGCUAAGAGCUUCACUAGAGGCCCAAACCUUUCUUCAGAUCCCAUAAAGUUCACCAUUACUCUUAGAAAUAUUCUGAAGUAUCCUUUUGUGAAGGUUGGGAUUUAAUCCUUUAAGAGUUAAGUAGGGAAGUGGCCUCUGGCUGGUAGCCCCAGCUGCCAGCAUCUCUCGGCUUUUCACUAAAAUACCUAUAAAGCUUAUAGGAUAAAGUAAAUAUAUCCCCCUGGAUUCUGGUAUUAGUUUAUCUGUCAUUCUCUGUUCUAUAUAACUAUAUAUAUAUAUAUAUUUUUUUUUAAAGAUAAUUAAAUGUAAUAAUUAAAACAGUGAGCAUUGGCUAAGAAAAAGAUACAAAGAUCAAUGGAAUGGAAUAGAAAAUCCUGAAUCUGAGACAUAAAAUGGGAGCAAUCAGCAUAGGAAGUGGGCGAGUAGAGGUCCUAGGACUGAGGCUUGGGGCACUCUAACAUUAAGAGGAGAUGAGAGAACAAGAGACCAAAAAGGUGUUGCCAUUGCCAUAGAAGGGAAACUAUGGUGUCCUGGAAGUCAAGUGAAGAAAGUGUUGCAGCAAGGAAAGGAGCAGCUGAGUUCAAGGCUGCUGAUGGGUCAAGUACGAUGACAACUAAGAAUUGUUUAUUGGUUUUAGCAACAUGAGAACCUUGAUGCCCUUGACAAGGGCAAUUUCAAUGGAAUAAGUCCAUGGCCUGAUUACAGUGAGUUAAAGAAAGGAUGGUAAGAAACCGAUGAUGAUGAGGGCAGACCUCUCUUGCAAGGAGUUUUGCGGUUAAGUGGAAUGGAGAAAUAGGCAGUAACUGGAGAAGAGGGUUUAUAAUGAUAACAGCAUAUUGUUAGGAUGCUGAGGGGAAUGAGCUAUUUGAAAGGAAACAAAUGAUGGAAAGAAAAAAGAAAAAAAUGGAGAAGAGAAAAACAUGGAGAGAAAAAAAUGAAACAGGGAGCUCAGACAGAUUAAAUUAAGGAUCAAAUUUAGGAAACAACUAGAGCAUUGGCUUUAAGGAGACAGUUGCAGGAGCAAAGACAUAUGGACAGUGGCUAGUAAGUGGGAGCUUGUAAGAAGGUCUUUGAUUACG